rnacentral:rRNA from 1 species
GACGAACGCUGGCGGCGUGCUUAACACAUGCAAGUCGAACGGAAAGGCUCCAGCUUGCUGGAGUACUCGAGUGGCGAACGGGUGAGUAACACGUGGGUAAUCUGCCCUGCACUCUGGGAUAAGCCUGGGAAACUGGGUCUAAUACUGGAUAUGACCUUUCUCCUUAUGGGGUUUGGUGGAAAGUUUUUCGGUGUAGGAUGAGCCCGCGGCCUAUCAGCUUGUUGGUGGGGUGAUGGCCUACCAAGGCGACGACGGGUAGCCGGCCUGAGAGGGUGAUCGGCCACAUUGGGACUGAGAUACGGCCCAGACUCCUACGGGAGGCAGCAGUGGGGAAUAUUGCACAAUGGGCGGAAGCCUGAUGCAGCGACGCCGCGUGCGGGAUGACGGCCUUCGGGUUGUAAACCUCUUUCAGCAGGGACGAAGCGUAAGUGACGGUACCUGCAGAAGAAGCACCGGCUAACUACGUG